GCCUGGAGGAGAGAGAGAGAUGAAGAUAAAAGCAACCUGGGACAGAUGACAAAGUAACCUGGGAGCAAAAUGGUUGCAGGAACCAUCAGAUGACUCAGAGUGAGAUGCAAUAAUGGCCUUCUAAUGAUCAAAAUCGGCGCAGUCUGCAUUGCAGCAUCAUUAAUCUUAUUCCUUUGGGAGAGUCUGUCUGCAAGUCAUAUGAUCCUACCUUGCCAUACUUAUUUCAGCAGUCUCAGUGGAGUACUGGGGACCUUGAGCCUGGGUGCAAAACCUGCUCCUCUGGCAGUUACACCACUGUGCAGCGUGUGUAGAGCCAACAGAUUUAUUCCUGGCUAACACUUGAUAUUGUUGGAUUUCCCAGAUGCAAGUGCUUUUUAUUUUAAUAGGUAACAUAAAAAACAAGACAUACCAUAGGAAGGGAAAUGGUCAGCAUGUUGAUGUUAGUGCAAAUAACAAGUGCUACAAUACAUGCUCCUAAUAGGUAGUUGAGAAAUUUCUCAUGUUCACAUUCAUAAAACCUACAGAUAAGUCAAAAGGCUCCAGAUGAUAUUGGCUAUAGUUUUUACAUGUUUGAGUGGUUAGGAACACCCCAAUAGGACAGGGGCUGAUGGGAAUGUAGACCUAAAUGUGUAAAGGGUACAAUGAUGGUAUUGUAAAAAAAAUAUAAUAUAAGUAAUGUUCUGUAAUUAUAUUCCUGCAUGCAACAUUUAGAGAUUUCCAAAGCUGAAUCUGGUAAACAGCAUUGCUUUAGUCACCAGAAUAUAUAAAUGUAUUAGAGAGACAAAAAAAAAUCUGCACUGACUAUGAAAAUUUCAAGCCAAGUACUUGAUAUAGGAAGAAUGGAGAAGUUUUACAUACACUUAAAUCAAUACAUAAUGGGUACUAAAAGAAAUUCCAAUAUUUAAUGAUUUGGAGUACUUACUUCACCAUGUUCCCAAAAUGUUUUUAUAAUGCAAUUAAUUCUAUUGAUCUCAAAUUCUUUUCCUGUCUUCAAAAAAAGAAAACAGAAUAAACAUAGUGCUGGACAAAUAUUUUAAGGUCAGAAUCCACUGUCGCCUUCUGACUGUUUAUUUGCUGAAAACAUGUUCUAACUUCUCUAAAAGAUCAUUGGAAUUUCCACUGCUUUACUGCCCCCUUUCACAACUGCUGAUUGUAACACAAUAGUGUCACUAUAAUGCUAGGUGCUUUCCAUCAAAUCUACUUGCAGAGUAAUACCGUAAUUAUUCUUCACUCCUUUACUUAAAGGAAUUGUUCAGUAUAAAAAUAAAAACUGGUUAAA